GGCUUCGGAACCGCUCUGUGCAGCUCAUCCGCCGCUCUCUAUUGUGAUUAGUCCUCCAGGUCACAGCGAGCAUGCGCCCGACGACUCCAAACCAGCAACUGUUGCUCCUAACUGCUCCACGUGCGGGCGAGCAGUCGAUUCUCGGACCCCCGUCUCAGCCAACUUCUCCUUCUAAACCAGGCUGCCCCUCAUCUCUUCCCGCCGUUCGAUGCCAUAGCCCAUCCCGGGAGCGGACCGGUUCGGCUCACAGCUGCCCCCGAGCGCCCGGCGCCAUCCAAAUUGCUCUCCGCCGCGGCGGACCAGCAGACGUCCCCUUCCCCCCCCAGCCCCGCGCCGUCCCCCGGCCGUUUCAAAGCGCUCUCAGCAGCAGCGGAACCCGAGCGGCUCGGAGAUGGGCGGUCGCGGUACGGGCGUGAAGCGGCCCCGGCACCGCAGCAUCCCAGGACCCGCCGGGCUCGGCACCGCGCUGCGCAUGCAGCACCGCGCACACAGCGUUUUGCAUGCGCGUUUUCGGCAGAAAGACCUCAGCUGGAGCCUGGGACUGCAACACGGAGGGUGCUCAAGAAACAAAAGAAGGGAGUUAUUCUUCACUGAGUGAGGGCUACAACAGCACAGACUCUGAGAAUGAAUCCAACGCAUCCCAGAGGAGGAAGGAGUUAUCACCAGGCCAGGCUGUGUCCCCAGUGCAGGCUGUAUUGCGGCUGCUCGGAGGAGAUGUCACCUCGCCAGGACCCGAGCUGAUUAUCUUCCCUUGGAUGCUUCAAAUGAUGGUCAGCUUUCUUGGAGAAGAGAAGGCGGUGAUUCAGAGGAUGAGGACGAGCCUGAUAGGAAUCGUCUCCAUUUUGUUCCUAAAAAGAGAACUCUUAGGCGUAGGAUGGCUGAACGCGUGGGUGAGUUGGUGCCUUUUCUCCCAGAGAGAGGCUGUGUCUUUUACUGAUGGAUGUCCGGAAGAAUGUGAGACUUGCCCAGUGAAGAGUGCAGUACAA